rnacentral:rRNA from 1 species
CAGUAGCCGCGGGAAUACGAAGGGGGCUAGCGUUGUUCGGAUUUACUGGGCGUAAAGCGCACGUAGGCGGACUUUUAAGUCAGGGGUGAAAUCCCGGGGCUUAACCCCGGAACUGCCUUUGAUACUGGAAGUCUUGAGUAUGGUAGAGGUGAGUGGAAUUCCGAGUGUAGAGGUGAAAUUCGUAGAUAUUCGGAGGAACACCAGUGGCGAAGGCGGCUCACUGGACCAUUACUGACGCUGAGGUGCGAAAGCGUGGGGAGCAAACAGGAUUAGAUACCCCGGUAGUCCCUGUCUCUUAUAC